GAUGAACGCUGGCGGCGUGCCUAAUACAUGCAAGUCGAGCGAACGGACGAGAAGCUUGCUUCUCUGAUGUUAGCGGCGGACGGGUGAGUAACACGUGGAUAACCUACCUAUAAGACUGGGAUAACUUCGGGAAACCGGAGCUAAUACCGGAUAAUAUUUUGAACCGCAUGGUUCAAAAGUGAAAGACGGUCUUGCUGUCACUUAUAGAUGGAUCCGCGCUGCAUUAGCUAGUUGGUAAGGUAACGGCUUACCAAGGCAACGAUGCAUAGCCGACCUGAGAGGGUGAUCGGCCACACUGGAACUGAGACACGGCCCAGACUCCUACGGGAGGCAGCAGUAGGUAAUCUUCCGCAAUGGGCGAAAGCCCGACGGAGCAACGCCGCGUGAGUGAUGAAGGUCUUCGGAUCGUAAAACUCUGUUAUUAGGGAAGAACAUAUGUGUAAGUAACUGUGCACAUCUUGACGGUACCUAAUCAGAAAGCCACGGCUAACUACGUG
rnacentral:rRNA from 1 species